rnacentral:lncRNA from 1 species
UUGUUUCAUAACUUUGGAAAUGUGCAAACCUUGAGAACUCUUUAACAAAAAAUACCUCCGUAGAUUUUCUCAAACUUUCAUCUUCUUCUGAAGCCUCAAUCAUUUAAUGAUAAUGAUAACUGUGACACCCAUAAGGCCUGGAUUUUGAUGCAAUAAUUUAAUUCCUUGAGCUGCAUUGCCUUGUUGACAUUGCUUUGACUUUCGUAUUGCAGCCUUUUAGAUUUCUUCCAUAUUACAAUGAGACUGUUCUGGAUGAAGUUAAGGAAGUGUUUCGCACUGAUAAGAGGUUAGCAGAUGUGUAUUGUCCAAUAUUAAUACUUCAUGACCAUGAUGAUGAAAUUAUAUCAUUUGAACUGGGGAAAAAGUUAUAUGAGACUGCUAAGAAUUCCAGGAAACCUGAUGCAGAUCCUAUUAAAUUUGUCGAAUUAAAUGGGCGUCAUGGCCACAAGAUGAUUUAUCAAUCUGAAAAACUUCCAGGACUCUUAAGGGAUUUUGUCAAGACAAAGUGACACUUGCAAGAGUUAGACUUCUAAAGACGGUGUUUCUAUUUAAUCACAAGCACGUAGAAUUAGGACUCAUUAAAUGUAAUUUGCAAAAUAUUAAGGUUAAAAUACUUACAGAACAGGUGUGGAAUGGAAGUUGAGAAAAUUUUAAUUUUGCCAUCAAGGAUAUAAAUUUCUAGAACUAAGAAGUCAACUCCAUUUAUCUGGCUAGCAACGGCCAGCAAAAAUUGGUAGAGUAGUAUGGAAUGGAGCAAGAUUUUGUAUGAACUAAAGCAGUACAGGCACAAGUGGGCUACCCUUUGAUUGACUGGCUAGGUGUAUAAUUUGAUUAACCCGCUAUUUAAGAUUUAAAUGUAAAUGUUUGAUGAAAUUUAAAAGGAAAAUUUAGCUGAGUCAUGCGUGGCGUUCUCCGUCUUCUUGGGCUGUAUAUAAGGGGUCAUUUUGAUCCGAGCUCCAUUAAACUGCGCGUGAAGAAUGAAGUAAGGAGAACAGGGCAGGCUAUAUACAAUCUGGCCUCAGUUAUCUCCUUACGUACAAACUCGGAUUGACGAUUGACGCAGUUAAAUUUCUCACCUGACUGACUCCGUUAGCAGUUGGAAAGCCCAGGCGAACUCCCUAGAUCCGCUGUUCGAUGGAUUUAAAUUGACUUGCAUGCUUACCGGGAUUGAAGUUUGGACAUUUGGGGAGGUAGCGGCCAACGAAUGACAUGUUAAUCGCCUUGUUCUCCUCCCUCAGUCUUCAACCCGAGCUUGAUCAAGCUUAUCCUUUUGAACUCGCAAAAUGACGCCAUAUACUGCUCAAAGAAAUACGAAUUGCUCGAAGAAGACAAUAAUAAACUACACAUGACUCCAUUAAGCUUUUUUCAACACACAAUUCAAACGGACGGUUUAAUCUGCCCGUGGUGUAACAGUGACAGAGCUGUCUGUAAAGGCAGAUACCAGUAUAGUUACCCCUGAGAGCACGAUGAACAUUUUAAUCCAGGGAGACUAACAUAGAUUAGUUGGUUACAGAAUUCUAUAGUCAGGUUGCAAACUUCUCAGUGUUAGGAGAAUUUUAAUCUUUAACUUACAAAACUCAGGGAUUCAGUGAAUUAUGUAUCGGUUUGCGCGUGGUGUUACUGGGCCAAAUCGUUUUCCAUGACUCGAUGCAGGGCAAUUAAGUUCAUGAUUCAUCACAGGAUGUAUUGCUAGUAAGUUUUGUCAUUGUAGUUCUUCUAACAUGGUGUGUUUCUCUGUGUGAGUUGUGGGGAUGUGUCAGUUGACUGCAAUUGUAUACGGUGUUGUUUAGGUGCUAAAAAUAAUUUUCUGCUUUCUAACUAAAUGACCAGAAAAUACUAUAUUUUCCCGACCCCAUACUAUUUUUAAAACUAAUUAUUAUAAUUACACCAUAUAAUUUCUAAUUUCUGAAGGUGUUAUGUAAUCAAUUAAAGUUCAAGUUUUCAUUGA